GAUGAACGCUGGCGGCGUGCCUAAUACAUGCAAGUCGAGCGAACAGACGAGGAGCUUACUCCUCUGACGUUAGCGGCGGACGGGUGAGUAACACGUGGAUAACCUACCUAUAAGACUGGGAUAACUUCGGGAAACCGGAGCUAAUACCGGAUAACAUGUUGAACCGCAUGGUUCAACAGUGAAAGACGGUCUUGCUGUCACUUAUAGAUGGAUCCGCGUCGCAUUAGCUAGUUGGUAAGGUAACGGCUUACCAAGGCAACGAUGCGUAGCCGACCUGAGAGGGUGAUCGGCCACACUGGAACUGAGACACGGUCCAGACUCCUACGGGAGGCAGCAGUAGGGAAUCUUCCGCAAUGGGCGAAAGCCUGACGGAGCAAUGCCGCGUGAGUGAAGAAGGUCUUCGGAUCGUAAAACUCUGUUAUUAGGGAAGAACAAAUGUGUAAGUAACUAUGCACGUCUUGACGGUACCUAAUCAGAAAGCCACGGCUAACUACGUG
rnacentral:rRNA from 1 species